CAAGAGCGUAUGUAAAAGUUGUUGCAGUUAAAAAGCUCGUAGUUGAACCUUGGGUUUGGUUGGCCGGUCCGCUUUUUUGCGAGUACUGGAUUCAACCGAGCCUUUCCUUCUGGCUAACCAGUCGUUUCGGCGGCUGGCGAACCAGGAUUUUUACUUUGAGAAAAUUAGAGUGUUCAAAGCAGGCAUUAGCUUGAAUAUAUUAGCAUGGAAUAAUAGAAUAGGACGUUAUGGUUCUAUUUUGUUGGUUUCUAGGACCAUCGUAAUGAUUAAUAGGGACAGUCGGGGGCAUCAGUAUUCAGUUGUCAGAGGUGAAAUUCUUGGAUUUACUGAAGACUAACUACUGCGAAAGCAUUUGCCAAGGACGUUUUCAUUAA
rnacentral:rRNA from 1 species